rnacentral:rRNA from 1 species
GACGAACGCUGGCGGCGUGCUUAACACAUGCAAGUCGAACGGAAAGGCCCUGCUUUUGUGGGGUGCUCGAGUGGCGAACGGGUGCGUAACACGUGAGUAACCUGCCCUUCACUUUGGGAUAACUUCAGGAAACUGGGGCUAAUACCGUAUAGGAUCUCCUGCUGCAUGGUGGGGGUUGGAAAUUUUCGGCGGUUGGGGAUGGACUCGCGGCUUAUGAGCUUGUUGGUCGGGUAGUGGCUUACCAAGGCUUUGACGGGUAGCCGGCAUGAGAGCGUGACCGGGGACCAUACGACUGCGGGACGGAGCAGAGGCCUACGGGAGACAGUAGUGGGGAAUAUUGCACAAUGGGACGGAGCGUGAGGAAGAGACGCUGCGGGCGUGAUGACGUCCUUCGGGUAGAAAACAGCAUUAGCCUGUGACGAAGCGUGAGUGACGGUAAUGAGUAAAGAAGCACCGGCUAACUACGUG